GAUGAACGCUGGCGGCGUGCCUAAUACAUGCAAGUCGAGCGAACAGACGAGGAGCUUGCUCCUCUGACGUUAGCGGCGGACGGGUGAGUAACACGUGGAUAACCUACCUAUAAGACUGGGAUAACUUCGGGAAACCGGAGCUAAUACCGGAUAAUAUAUCGAACCGCAUGGUUCAAUAGUGAAUGACGGUUUUGCUGUCACUUAUAGAUGGAUCCGCGCCGCAUUAGCUAGUUGGUAAGGUAACGGCUUACCAAGGCAACGAUGCGUAGCCGACCUGAGAGGGUGAUCGGCCACACUGGAACUGAGACACGGUCCAGACUCCUACGGGAGGCAGCAGUAGGGAAUCUUCCGCAAUGGGCGAAAGCCUGACGGAGCAACGCCGCGUGAGUGAUGAAGGUCUUCGGAUCGUAAAGCUCUGUUAUUAGGGAAGAACAAAUGUGUAAGUAACUAUGCACGUCUUGACGGUACCUAAUCAGAAAGCCACGGCUAACUACGUG
rnacentral:rRNA from 1 species